UACGUAGGUGGCAAGCGUUGUCCGGAAUUAUUGGGCGUAAAAGCGCGCGCAGGCGGUCCUUUUAAGUCUGAUGUGAAAGCCCACGGCUCAACCGUGGAGGGUCAUUGGAAACUGGGGGGACUUGAGUGCAGGAGAGAAGAGUGGAAUUGCCACGUGUAGCGGUGAAAUCGUAGAAGAUGUGGAGGAACACCAGUGGCGAAGGCGACUCUUUGGCCUGUAACUGACGCUGAGGCGCGAAAGCGUGGGGGAGCAAA
rnacentral:rRNA from 1 species